GACAGAGGGUGCAAAUGUUGCUCGGAAUCACUGGGCGUAAAGGGCGUGUAGGCGGGAAGGAAAGUCGGGCGUGAAAUCCCUGGGCUCAACCCAGGAACUGCACUCGAAACUUCUUUUCUUGAGUGCCGGAGAGGAAAGCGGAAUACCUGGUGUAGAGGUGAAAUUCGUAGAUAUCAGGUGGAACACCAGUGGCGAAGGCGGCUUUCUGGACGGUAACUGACGCUGGAGACGCGAAAGCGUGGGGAGCAAACAGG
rnacentral:rRNA from 1 species